rnacentral:tRNA from 2 species
GGGGGUGGAUUGGUCCUGGUGGGCCGCCUGGACUUCAAAUCCAGUGGGGGGCGUGGCCCGUCCCCGGUGGGUUCGAUUCCCACACACUCCCGCCA